ensembl:lncRNA
AUAUUACUAAACAUUAAAAAAUAGAUAGACUCUAGCAUAUUUAAAGUAAUUAAAUAUAUUGAACUAUGUAUGUAAAAUAAUAAUAAUAAAGUCAUUGUAUUUUUGUUGUUAUAGACCUGUUGAGUUGAAUUUGCAUUUUGGCAGAUUGUGUGUCAUUAAUGAAUAUUUGACUUCCAGUGGCUUGUGGGUUCAAGAAAAGUUGUAUAAGUCUUAACAAGGUGGGACUCUGCAUUUCCUUCUUAAAAAACAAAAUGCUGUGGUAUAUUUUUGGGGUGUCUUCACACAGUUUAACCUCAGGUUACAGUAUAUUUAAACAGAGCUGGGUUACAGUGAUGUUGUGCUCAAAAAGUCUGUUUAGGAUGAUCUGAACGAUCUGUACAUUCAGCUAUAUAUGAGCAUUACAGAUGUGCAAGUGUGAGACAAGAACAUCAUUUACUGCGCUUAAUGUACAGCGUGAAACCUUGAAACCUGCAGUCUGGCCAAACCUGUCACAAACGUCAAGAUACGGCCAUGAUCUGAUCUGAUAUUUGCUCAGAGUGAUCAGACUGAUGGAUCUGAUUGUUUCUGUUUUCAGGCUCUUCUCUGAUCGUUCCUCUGGUUCUGGUUCUUCUGGUUCUGUUCGUUGGUCUCUUAUUUCUGUUUCUCUGUAAGAAGCAUCAAUCUCGAGGUAAAACUCCUUCUUAAUGUCUUUAGAUGCAGAAACCCCCUUACUACGGAGUUUAAAACAAAUAUUUGUUCAUCUGUUUUCCCAUUUUGAGUCUGUCGCCACCUACAGGCUGCAAAGAGACAUGAGGAAAUACAGAUAUUUGAUGAUGAUACUGUAUGUGAAAACAGACUUCAGUGUUGAAAUGUGAUAUAAUGUCGUUAAUUUAGACUCUUUUCUUUAGCAGGCGGUGAUUCAUUAUCUCAGACUAGAGCAGGAAAACAUGAAGUGGUUUCUCACACUGCUUGUGAUUAUGAGGAGAUUCAAGACUCUCACAAACAAUUACCUACACACCCCUCUGAUUCAUCUAACACUGUUUAUGCCACAGCUCAGUUACCCACAAACCCCUCUGUUUCUCCUGACUGUGUUUACGCUACAGUUCAGAAAGACACUGGUGACUCUCAGAUCUUGAUCACAUCUGCUGAGGACCUGAAUUACUCCGUGGUGAAUUUCCAGAAGAAAGCAGACUGUCCUGACAGUGUUAGAUUGAGGAAUAAUCAGGAUUACAGUGAAUAUGCUGCUGUCAAUCAUCUCACUGACUGACGACACACAGCAGAUAAUCUCAUUGAACUGAAAGCUUUGAUUUUGGUUUCAGGCUUCCAUGUUUCAUAUUUUUGUUAUUUUUUUGGCUCUCCUCUGCUGUAUAUUUAAGACAGUCUUGCAGGUCAAACUUUUGACUGUCGACGUGAAGGAUGUUUCAAUGACAGAGCAGUGUUUUGUUCUGCAAAGAAAUGAUCAGAAACCCUUGAGUUUUUGGUCUGCAUUUGAUGUAAAUAAGUUCUGAAUAUUUCUGAGACAAAAGAAUAUGUGUCUGUGAUCAGUUAGUUUGGUUAACGUUAAACUACACGUCUGGCCACCUGCGGUUCUUGUAAAACUUUUAUUAAGUCUCAGUGUUUAAAAGCUCACAAACUUUUACACAUGCAGCAGCUAUUGUUUUUUUUCCUCAGUGUUCAUUUUAACAGCUUGUUAACUUAGAAAGGAAAAUUUAGUAAACCAAGAUGAAGUCAUGAUAUUGUAUUCAAAUAUGAUAUGAAUGGACUAUGGAAAGCUGAAGUGAUCAAAAAGCAAAACUUCUGUCCUCUGAGAUGAAGUGUGAGAGGGAGUUAUUUUGGUUAAAUAUUACCUGAAUGUAUAUGUGUACAUGAAUGAGUGAGUACAUUAAUUAAAAAAAUAAUAAUACUGAUGAUGUGCACAGAUAAAUAUUUUAUAAUGAAUACUGCAAUGUUCCAUAAAAAAGAACAGUGCAUUUUGAUUUCAAAGAUAUUUUAAUCAAUCAACAAUGUGCUUAUUUGGUCACCAUGGUAACCGCUGAUGGUUGCAAGUUUGUCCUCUAGAUGUCGCUGUCAAUUUACAGUCUUUGGGAUUCUAGUCUGAAUAAAAAUUCUGGGUAUAUUUUUGUAGAAAUAUCU